UAAUCAGGAGCUAGUAGCAGUCACACAC
rnacentral:sRNA from 1 species